rnacentral:misc_RNA from 1 species
UGGUUUGUUGCAGCCAUCUCUCUCGUUCCCUCGUCCAAUUUCAAUUCCUUUAAUUUAAACUCAAUAAAAAACAGAGCAAAUAAAAAAAAUUUCAAACAAGAAAAUGAAAAAGAAGAGCAAACAAAGAACACAUUAAGCGAAUAAAUCCACAGCUUAUCUAUUGCCACCAUUCAAGUAUCAAAAAAAAAAAAUCUCUUCAGAGUCGGCUGUUGUUACUAGGAUAAACUCUGGGCGAAGAGUGUAUGUUCGAUCCAGAGCAUUAGGCAGUCCCACUGUCCCAGCGUCUACAAGGCAAGGUGAGCUGCCUUCUGCCCUGAUAUCAUCAUG